rnacentral:rRNA from 1 species
AGUCUGGUGCCAGCAGCCGCGGUAAUUCCAGCUCCAAUAGCGUAUAUUAAUGUUGCUGCAGUUAAAAAGCUCGUAGUUGGAUUUCUGACUUGGCGCACCUGGCCCGCCACCGUUAGGUGUGUGAGUGCCGGGAUGCGCCUGUCACUUUUCUGGUAAACUAUUGUGCUCUUCAUUGGGUAUGAUAGGUAGCCAGAUAUUUUACUUUGAAAAAAUUAGAGUGUUUAAAGCAGGCGUUUGCUAUGAAUACAUUAGCAUGGAAUAAUAAGUUAGGACUUCGGUCCUAUUUUGUUGGUUUCUAGGACUGAAGUAAUGAUUGAUAGGGAUAGUUGGGGGCGCUAGUAUUCAGCGGCCAGAGGUGAAAUUCUCGGAUUCGCUGAAGACUAACUUAUGCGAAAGCAUUCACCAAGGAUGUCUUCUUUAAUCAAGAACGAAAGUUGGGGGAUCGAAGACGAUCAGAUACCGUCGUAGUCUCAACCAUAAACUAUGCCGACUAGGGAUGAGUGAUCGUUGUUUUACGACUUCAUUCGCACCUUAUGAGAAAUCAAAGUCCUUGGGUUCCGGGGGGAGUAUGGUCGCAAGGCUGAAACUUAAAGGAAUUGACGGAAGGGCACCACCAGGAGUGGAGCCUGCGGCUUAAUUUGACCCAACACGGGGAAACUUACCAGGUCCAGACUCAGUGAGGAUUGACAGAUUGAAGAUCUUUCUUGAUUUUGAGGGUGGUGGUGCAUGGCCGUUCUUAGUUGGUGGAGCGAUUUGUCUGGUUUAUUCCGUUAACGAACGAGACCACGACCUGCUAAAUAGUUCGACCUAGGGUUUACUCUAGGUUCGUGACUUCUUAGAGGGACUAUCGGUGUGUAGCCGAUGGAAGUUCGUGGCAAUAACAGGUCUGUGAUGCCCUUAGAUGUUCUGGGCCGCACGCGCGCUACACUGAUGCAUUCAUCGAGCUUACAACCUUGCCUGAGAGGGCUGGGUAAUCUUUGAAAAUGCAUCGUGCUGGGGAUAGAUUAUUGUAAUUAUUAAUCUUCAACGAGGAAUUCCUAGUAAACGCGUGUCAUCAACACGCAUUGAUUACGUCCCUGCCCUUUGUACACACCGCCCGUCGCUACUACCGAUUGAAUGAAUUAGUGAGCUCCAGAGAUCGAGCUGUUUCGGGCAACCGGGGCAGAUUGAGAACUGGAUCAAACUUGCUCAUUUAGAGGAAGUAAAAGUCGUA